UACGUAGGGGGCUAGCGUUGUCCGGAUUUAUUGGGCGUAAAGGGCGCGUAGGCGGGAUGGCAAGUCGGUCGUGAAAUCCUUCGGCUCAACCGAAGAACGUCGGCCGAUACUGCCGUUCUUGAGGGAUGCAGAGGAGAUUGGAAUUCCCGGUGUAGCGGUGAAAUGUGUAGAGAUCGGGAGGAACACCGGUGGCGAAGGCGGGUCUCUGGGCAUCUCCUGACGCUGAGGCGCGAAAGCGUGGGGAGCAAACGGG
rnacentral:rRNA from 1 species